rnacentral:rRNA from 1 species
UACGUAGGGUGCGAGCGUUGUCCGGAAUUACUGGGCGUAAAGAGCUCGUAGGUGGUUUGUCGCGUUGUUCGUGAAAACUCACAGCUUAACUGUGGGCGUGCGGGCGAUACGGGCAGACUGGAGUACUGCAGGGGAGACUGGAAUUCCUGGUGUAGCGGUGGAAUGCGUAGAUAUCGGGAGGAACACCAGUGGCGAAGGCGACUACCUGGCCUGUUCUUGACGCUGAGGCGCGAAAGCUAGGGGAGCAAACGGGG